CGACUGGUCCAAAGACUCCCUUAAACCCUACCCGUUGCCUCCGGUGCUCCCGUCUUCGGGACCUCCGGGCAAGCUCCAUCCCGGCGGCCCUAAGAACUCUGAGCAGUCUGAAGAACGUUGCAGCCUCGGAGCAGACUAAGACAAAAAUUAC
rnacentral:misc_RNA from 1 species